GACGAACGCUGGCGGCGUGCCUAAUACAUGCAAGUCGAGCGGACUUCAUCCUUCGGGGUGAGGUUAGCGGCGGACGGGUGAGUAACACGUAGGCAACCUGCCCUCGAGACUGGGAUAACCUCCGGAAACGGAUGCUAAUACCAGAUACGCGGUCUUCCCACCUGGGGAGAUCGGGAAAGACGGAGCAAUCUGUUACUCGGGGAUGGGCCUGCGGCGCAUUAGCUAGUUGGUGAGGUAACGGCUCACCAAGGCGACGAUGCGUAGCCGACCUGAGAGGGUGAUCGGCCACACUGGGACUGAGACACGGCCCAGACUCCUACGGGAGGCAGCAGUAGGGAAUCUUCCGCAAUGGACGAAAGUCUGACGGAGCAACGCCGCGUGAGUGAGGAAGGCCCUCGGGUCGUAAAGCUCUGUUGCCAGGGAAGAACGCUUGGGAGAGUAACUGCUCUCAAGGUGACGGACCUGAGAAGAAAGCCCG
rnacentral:rRNA from 1 species